rnacentral:lncRNA from 1 species
UGUCAGGAUCGGUACCUGUCAGUGACAAUACUUUUCAAAGGGGAAGAGGGCAAGAAUGUGCUUGCACCUACCUUCUCCUCGCAAGCUGAGAAUCACUGAGUCAGGGAACCUAUUACUUCUUUCCAUACAUAAGAUUAUGUAAUCUUAGUGAAUAUUCGAGUGCUUAGUAUAUAUUAGGCCACUGGACUUGCUCUUGUGGAAAAGAAAUUUAAAAAUAUCCUUCUGGAGCUCAGAGGUUAGUUGCAGAGGUAAGGCACAUACUUAUACUGAUAGAUGAGAAAUGAUAUAUGCUACAUGAAGAUUUACAAUAAAGGUUUUUUAUUUCAAGUCAU